rnacentral:rRNA from 1 species
GACGAACGCUGGCGGCGUGCUUAACACAUGCAAGUCGAACGGAAAGGCCCUGCUUUUGUGGGGUGCUCGAGUGGCGAACGGGUGAGUAACACGUGAGUAACCUGCCCUUGACUUUGGGAUAACUUCAGGAAACUGGGGCUAAUACCGGAUAGGAGCUCCUGCUGCAUGGUGGGGGUUGGAAAGUUUCGGCGGUUGGGGAUGGACUCGCGGCUUAUCAGCUUGUUGGUGGGGUAGUGGCUUACCAAGGCGUUGACGGGUAGCCGGCCUGAGAGGGUGACCGGCCACAUUGGGACUGAGAUACGGCCCAGACUCCUACGGGAGGCAGCAGUGGGGAAUAUUGCACAAUGGGCGGAAGCCUGAUGCAGCAACGCCGCGUGCGGGAUGACGGCCUUCGGGUUGUAAACAGCUUUCGCCUGUGACGAAGCGUGAGUGACGGUAAUGGGUAAAGAAGCACCGGCUAACUACGUG